GGCAGAGGAAAGGCAGUUGGGGGCAGGGAUGCGGAGGCAGCUUUGGUAGCAAUCAAUCAGAUAGUCAACCCACCCACCAAGCCAGAAACAUGCUGUGUUUGGCAAUGGAGGGAAGGGAGGGGCUGACAGGUGCUUCCAAAUGCCCCAGGUGCAAGGCAGUGUCUCAGCCGGUCCAUGAAGCUCUUCAAAGCAGGUGUCCCUGCAGAGACAGAGCUGGAAAAUACUGGAGGAGGGAACCGCAGCCACUCAAGAGCACAUGGAGCCCUUUCAGUGGCCCCAUAGGACUCCGUGGGCUUACACAUCUGGUGUACUCUCUACCCACUUCCUUUACCCCGUGCCUUCUCCACACUGACUCUCAGGAAGACAUCAGUGACCAAAGAGGGGCGUGGCUGCAGCCUCCAGACUGUGUUCCUGGAUAAAGCCUUUCCCAGUUAUUUCACCGGCGGCUAAGUGGGCAUCUAAUGAACACUGUGACUUCGUUUUCCAGGUUGGGAGAGUUGACUGUAUCAGGUUCUCCAUCAAUAGAAGCUGCAUCAGGCUGCCAGCAGUUGUCUUGAUAUUAAGGAACUCCACCCAAGGCCUGGUACUGAGGAAACCAUGACAGCUCCUCAUUUAGGAGGAAUGCUGACCUUCUUUCCCACUGAGGGCUACAGGCUUUGUGGCCAGGGCUUUGAGAAUGUUACAGGAAGAUGAAGCCCAGUGCCUAUUUCAUACACGCAAUUCUCCUCUCCAUCCUCAUCUUUCCCAGCAGGAAUCAUUUUGCCAGUGUCAGGUUUUGUCUGUCCAAUUAAGAAGGCAGGCUCUGGGGACUUCCCUAGUAGUCCAACGGCAAAGACUCCAAGCUCCCAAUGCAGGGGAGUCUGAGUUCAAUCCCUGGUCAAGGAACUAGACGCUGCAUGCCACAACUAAAAAUUUAAGUGUAUGCUCAGUCCUACUCUUUGCAACCCCAUGGACUGUAGCCCACUGUCUCCUCUGUCCAUGGAAUUUUGCAGGCAAGAAUACUGGAGUGGGUUGUCAUUUCCUACUCCAGGGGAUCUUCCUGACUCAAGAAUAGAUCCCACAUCUUUUGUGUCUCCUGCAUUGGCAGGUAC
ensembl:lncRNA